GAUGAAGAACGUAGCGAAAUGCGAUAACUAAUGUGAAUUGCAGAAUUCCGUGAAUCAUUGAGUCUUUGAACGCACAUUGCGCCCCCUGGUAUUCCGGGGGGCAUGCCUGUUCGAGCGUCAUUUCACCACUCAAGCCUCGCUUGGUAUUGGGCGACGCGGUCCGCCGCGCGCCUCAAAUCGACCGGCUGGGUCUUUCGUCCCCUCAGCGUUGUGGAAACUAUUCGCUAAAGGGUGCCGCGGGAGGCCACGCCGUAAAACAACCCCAUUUCUAAGGUUGACCUCGGAUCAGGUAGGGAUACCCGCUGAACUUAAGCAUAUCAAUAAGCGGAGGA
rnacentral:misc_RNA from 1 species